CGAGCCGACCGGGCGAUCGCGGCGCGCAGGCGUCGAGGAAAGUCCGGGCUCCACAGGGCAGGGUGGUGGGUAACACCCACCCGGGGUGACCCGCGGGACAGUGCCACAGAAAGCAGACCGCCGGCCGGGACUACGUGCCGACCGGUAAGGGUGAAACGGCGGUGUAAGAGACCACCAGCGUCGCAGGCGACUGCGGCGGCUCGGCAAACCCCACCCGGAGCAAGACCAAGCGGGCCCGCAAGGGCCUAGGCAGGAGAGCGGCCCGCUCGGCCUCGGGGAGACCCGGGGCCCAUCCUGCUGGUAGGUCGCAGGAGGUCGUCGGCAACGGCGAUCCCAGAGGGAUGAUCGCCCCUCGCGCGAGCGAGGACAGAACCCGGCUUAUAGGUCGACUCGUCCG
rnacentral:RNase_P_RNA from 1 species